AGUCUGCAACUCGACUGCAUGAAGCCGGAAUCGCUAGUAAUCGCGGAUCAGAAUGCCGCGGUGAAUACGUUCCCGGGUCUUGUACACACCGCCCGUCACACCAUGGGAGUCGGAAAUGCCCGAAGCCGGUGGCCUAACCGAUAAGGGAGGAGCCGUCGAAGGCAGGUCUGAUGACUGGGGUGAAGUCGUAACAAGGUAAC
rnacentral:rRNA from 1 species